CCUACGGGUGGCAGCAGUGAGGAAUAUUGGUCAAUGGACGAGAGUCUGAACCAGCCAAGUAGCGUGAAGGAUGACUGCCCUAUGGGUUGUAAACUUCUUUUAUAUGGGAAUAAAAUGUUCCACGUGUGGGAUUUUGUAUGUACCAUAUGAAUAAGGAUCGGCUAACUCCGUGCCAGCAGCCGCGGUAAUACGGAGGAUCCGAGCGUUAUCCGGAUUUAUUGGGUUUAAAGGGAGCGUAGGUGGAUUGUUAAGUCAGUUGUGAAAGUUUGCGGCUCAACCGUAAAAUUGCAGUUGAAACUGGCAGUCUUGAGUACAGUAGAGGUGAGUGGAAUUCGUGGUGUAGCGGUGAAAUGCUUAGAUAUCACGAAGAACUCCGAUUGCGAAGGCAGUUCACUGGACUGCAACUGACACUGAGGCUCGAAAGUGUGGGUAUCAAACAGGAUUAGAUACCCUUGUAGUC
rnacentral:rRNA from 1 species